rnacentral:rRNA from 1 species
UACGUAGGGUGCGAGCGUUGUCCGGAAUUACUGGGCGUAAAGAGCUUGUAGGCGGUCUGUCGCGUCGAUUGUGAAAUCUUGCAGCUCAACUGCAAGCCUGCAGUCGAUACGGGCAGACUAGAGUACUUCAGGGGAGACUGGAAUUCCUGGUGUAGCGGUGAAAUGCGCAGAUAUCAGGAGGAACACCGGUGGCGAAGGCGGGUCUCUGGGAAGUAACUGACGCUGAGAAGCGAAAGCGUGGGUAGCGAACAGG